rnacentral:rRNA from 1 species
AAAGGGUGCGUAGGCGGAUUCUUAAGUCAGGGGUGUAAUCCCGAGGCUCAACCUCGGAACUGCCUUUGAUACUGGGGAUCUUGAGUCCGGAAGAGGUGAGUGGAACUGCGAGUGUAGAGGUGAAAUUCGUAGAUAUUCGCAAGAACACCGGUGGCGAAGGCGGCUCACUGGUCCGGAACUGACGCUGAGGCACGACAGCGUGGGGAGCAAACAGGAUUAGAUACCCUAGU